GUGCCAGCCGCCGCGGUAAUACCGGCAGCCCAAGUGAUGGCCGCUGUUAUUGGGCCUAAAGCGUCCGUAGCUGGCCGCACGAGUCCGUCGGGAAAUCCGCCCGCUCAACGGGCGGCCGUCCGGCGGAACCUGUGUGGCUUGGGACCGGGAGGCCUGAGGGGUACGAUCGGGGUAGGAGUGAAAUCCUGUAAUCCCGCUCGGACCGCCGAUGGGGAAGCCACCUCAGGAGAACGGAUCCGACAGUGAGGGACGAAAGCUGGGAUCUCGAACCGGAUUAGAUACCCCUGCC
rnacentral:rRNA from 1 species